GUCUAUGGCCAUGCCAACCUGAACAAGCCAAUGUCUGAUCUCAGAAGCUAAGUAGGGUCGGGCCAGUUAAGUACUUGGGUGAGAGACCACCUAGGAAGCCCAGGUGCUGUAGGCA
rnacentral:rRNA from 1 species